CACGUCCUUUGACCUCCUUUGGAUGAAUACAUAGACUGUAGUGAUAAGGAGACGAAGGUGGAGAUUAUCACAGACAAGCAGGUGGAUGGAUUGGCAGUACAAGUCGGUGAUUCAGAGAACACGGACGGAGUCGUGCCUCUAGACCCCUGCAGGAAGUGCUUCAACAAACGAUGCAUCAACGAAGGAAACGAAUCAAUCCCGGCAGCAUCUACAUCUGAGAGCGUGCGAAUCGAUCGAUCUCUGUGGACUCGUCAACAUCCGAGGUGUCUAUCGAUGAGGCGUGGGAUGCAUUGUUUCAUGACACGUCGACGCUUGAUAAUUGGAUAACAUCAACUCACAGUAAACAAGGACAUGAGAAUGUCCGUAAAUCUGACGAGGAAAACGAAGCAGCCGAACACACGAGAAGAGAAGAUGCAGACGAAGAUGCUACAGACGAACCGGAUAGCAACAGAGAGGCGACAGGGUCGAGUGAGGAGACUGAAAAGAGGCCUGAUGAUGUGACUGUUGGGCAAGUGGAGGAUGUAUUGAUAGUUAGAGGUGAGAAGGAGGAUGAUGGUUAAUCGGGACUUCACCCGUCUGUAGACGUGAGUGAUGAAAAGCAGACGAAAAGUGUUGAACACAGAUUUGAGCAGCACACAGAUGCACAGGGUUGCAGGUUCAAGUCACAGUGAUGACGAGCUAUGGCAUAAUAUCCUUAAGAGAAACUUACACACAAUUGCUUCUCUCGACUCAGGAGUAUAAAUGAGUACCUGGUCAUUGACUGGCGUGGACAUGACCGCUGGCUUGGCAUCAUGCAAGCAACAGCAUGCAGCAUCAGAGACCUCUUCAACAUGCAUCAUGGAUGUCUUACUUUCUGUUUCUAUUUUACUUUCUUCAUCCGUUGUGUGCAAACUCCUCACACAUUCUUCACUGUCUGUAUGAUUGUCGGUCUCCCUAGAGAUGUUGGUAAUGGCUACAUCAUUGCUCGUCAUCUCACCAAUUAACAAAUAUUUUGUGUGAGCCAAUCAUUGCUAGAGUGUGGCAAAGGAACGUUUAUGGAAGUGAUGGUUGCGUCCAAGUGGUAGUGGACUGGACAUCGACAUGUCAAUGAGUUGCAGUGAGAGAUGCAGUCGGUCUGUGCACAUGCUGACGGUGGUGCUAGUGAAUGACGUCUUCUAGUGCAAUCUCGAGAUACACUGGGCAGUUUGCUGAUGUAGCAAACGAGUAGGACACGCCACGCCUACAUAUGAGAUAUAUGAGAUGUAAACAUGUGGAGUCAUAUUAUAUCUACAUUAGAGUUUCUGGAAUGAAAAGAAUCGAUCUGUACAAUUUUGUACAUUGAAGUGAAUGUAGAAAUUAUAGUAACAAUGAUAUUUACUAUUGCUACAGUUUACACCAUACUGUAUGUGAAUAAUUUAUGUUUUCUAAUUUAAUUCGAUGCCAUCUAUUUGUGCACGUGUUAAACACGU